GUGUCAGCCGCCGCGGUAAUACGGAGGGUGCAAGCGUUAUCCGGAUUCACUGGGUUUAAAGGGAGCGCAGGCGGAUUUGUAAGUCAGUGGUGAAAGGCUUAAGCUUAACUUGGGAACUGCCAUUGAUACUAUAAGUCUUGAAUGUUGUUGAGGUUUGCGGAAUGGGUCAUGUAGCGGUGAAAUGCAUAGAUAUGACCCGGAACACCUAUUGCGAAGGCAGCAGGCUAAACAAAUAUUGACGCUGAGGCUCGAAAGCGUGGGGAUCAAACAGGAUUAGAAACCCUUGUAGUCC
rnacentral:rRNA from 1 species